rnacentral:rRNA from 1 species
UACGUAGGGGGCAAGCGUUGUCCGGAUUUAUUGGGCGUAAAGAGCGUGUAGGCGGUCUGGUAGGUCCGUUGUGAAAACUCGAGGCUCAACCUCGAGACGCCGAUGGAAACCAUCAGACUAGAGUCCGGAAGAGGAGAGUGGAAUUCCUGGUGUAGCGGUGAAAUGCGCAGAUAUCAGGAGGAACACCGAUGGCGAAGGCAGGUCUCUGGGCCACUACUGACGCUGAGAAGCGAAAGCAUGGGGAGCGAACAGG